rnacentral:rRNA from 1 species
UACGUAGGUGGCGAGCGUUGUCCGGAUUUACUGGGCGUAAAGGGCGUGCAGGCGGUUUGUUAAGUGCAGGGUGAAAGCUCCCGGCUCAACUGGGAGAGGUCCUUGCAUACUGGCGAACUCGAGGGAGGCAGAGGAAAGUGGAAUUCCCGGAGUAGUGGUGAUAUGCGUAGAUAUCGGGAGGAACACCUGUGGCGAAGGCGGCUUUCUGGGCCUUACCUGACGCUGAGACGCGAAAGCGUGGGGAGCGAACCGG